rnacentral:rRNA from 1 species
ACUGAGGGGGGCUGCUCCUAGUACGAGAGGACCGGAGUGGACGCAUCACUGGUGUUCGGGUUGUCAUGCCAAUGGCACUGCCCGGUAGCUAAAUGCGGAAGAGAUAAGUGCUGAAAGCAUCUAAGCACGAAACUUGCCCCGAGAUGAGUUCUCCCUGACCCUUUAAGGGUCCUGAAGGAACGUUGAAGACGACGACGUUGAUAGGCCGGGUGUGUAAGCGCAGCGAUGCGUUGAGCUAACCGGUACUAAUGAACCGUGAGGCUUAACCUUACAACGCCGAAGGUGUUU